UACAUCCUAGGGGCGCAGCAGUGGGGAAUAUUGCACAAUGGGGGAAACCCUGAUGCAGCGACGCCGCGUGAGUGAAGAAGUAUUUCGGUAUGUAAAGCUCUAUCAGCAGGGAAGAAAAAAGACGGUACCUGACUAAGAAGCCCCGGCUAACUACGUGCCAGCAGCCGCGGUAAUACGUAGGAUUCGAGCGUUAUCCGGAUUUAUUGGGUUUAAAGGGUGCGUAGGCUGUCGGAUAAGUUAGAGGUCAAAUGUCGGGGCUUAACCCCGUGCCUGCCUCUGAUACUGUUCGACUAGAGAGCGGAUGG
rnacentral:rRNA from 1 species